rnacentral:ncRNA from 1 species
CGAGGGUUGGAAUCACGAUGUUGUGGCCCCCGCUAGCGUCUCAGCGAGCGAUCACGGGGAUCUCCACACGCUCGCCGGUAUAGCCAUCAACGCUUAAAGUAGGCCGUCGGGGGUGCUCACCUUAGCCCGUCGCUCCGAAUUUUAUGUGGUGUUUGAUGCUGCACGCCGUGGAGGGGUGAGACUUGUUGGAAGUCUCAGAAGGUGUAGACGCCG